AUUUUUGUGUUUCUGCUAUUGCUUUCUGUCUUCUAUAUCUCCAAGAGAUAGCUAUCAUGCAUAGGAGUAGAAGCACCAAGAUUGAUAUAAUUGACGCAACAACUGGAAGAAGAAAAUGCUUCUUUUUCUCACAUGAAUCCGACUGGCAUAAUUUUGGGUUUUUGUCGAAGCUUAACUGCAAUGUUCCAUUAUUAGACUUUUCUAUAAGUGAUUGUGGAAUGGAUCCAGUGAACUUGUUGCCAAUUAAAUUUAGAGUAUUUAAAUUUGGCAGUUGUGCUAAAAAUUCUGGC
rnacentral:misc_RNA from 1 species